ACCGGUGGCGAAGGCGGCCCCUGGACAGAUACUGACACUCGAUGCGAAAGCGUGGGAGCAAACAGGAUUAGAUACCCUGGUAGUCCACGCCGUAAACGAUGUCUACUUGGAGGUUGUGGCCUUGAGCCGUGGCUUUCGGACUAACGCGUUAAGUAGACCGCCUGGGGGUACGGUCGCAAGAUUAAAACUCAAAUGAAUUGACGGGGGCCCGCACAAGCGGUGGAGCAUGUGGUUUAAUUCGAUGCAACGCGAAGAACCUUACCUACUCUUGACAUCCAGAGAACUUUCCAGAGAGGAUUGGUGCUUCGGGAACUCUGAGACAGGUGCUGCAUGGCUGUCGUCAGCUCGUGUUGUGAAAUGUUGGGUUAAGUCCCGCAACGAGCGCAACCCUUAUCCUUGUUUGCCAGCACUUCGGGUGGGACUCCAGGGAGACUGCCGGUGAUAAACCGGAGGAAGGUGGGGACGACGUCAAGUCAUCAUGGCCCUUACGAGUAGGGCUACACACGUGCUACAAUGGCGCAUACAGAGGGCGGCCAACUUGCGAGAGUAGCGAAUCCCAAAAAGUGCGUCGUAGUCCGGAUCGGAGUCUGCAACUCGACUCCGUGAAGUCGGAAUCGCUAGUAAUCGUGGAUCAGAAUGCCACGGUGAAUACGUUCCCGGGCCUUGUACACACCG
rnacentral:rRNA from 1 species